UAGUACGGCGAGUGAAGAGGGAAGAGCCCAAGAUUGAAAGCUGGCGUCUUCGGCGUCCGCAUUGUAAUCUCAAGAAGUGUUUUCCGCCUCGGACCAAGCCUAAGUCCCCUGGAAAGGGGCAUCAUAGAGGGUGAUAAUCCCGUACAUGGCUUGGAGCGCCCGAGGCUUUGUGAUACGCUUUCUAAGAGUCGAGUUGUUUGGGAAUGCAGCUCAAAAUGGGUGGUAAAUGCCAUCUAAGGCUAAAUAUUGGGGAGAGACCGAUAGCGAACAAGUACAGUGAUGGAAAGAUGAAAAGAACUUUGAAAAGAGAGUUAAACAGUACGUGAAAUUGCCAAAAGGGAAGGGUAGGAGGUCAGAGAUGCGUCUUGGGAUUCAGCCUUGCUUUUGCUUGGUGUUUUUCCCAGAUUGCAGGCCAACGUCGGUUUUGGGCACUGGAGAAGGGUAGGAGGAAUGUGGCACCCCUCGGGGUGUGUUAUAGCCUCCUACUGGAUACAGCGACCGAGACCGAGGACAGCAGCGUACUCGUAAGAGCGGGCCCUCGGGCACCUUUACGCUUAGGGCGUUGGCAUAAUGGCCCUCUACCACCCGUCUUG
rnacentral:rRNA from 1 species